ensembl:lncRNA LINC00607 long intergenic non-protein coding RNA 607
AGGAUAUCCUUAAAUGCUUUAGUCCAGUGUGUCAUGUUAUCUUGGGGUAUAAAACCCAGACUGGGCUGCGUGCUGAGGCCCUUCAACAAAGGGGGCACAUGCAGAUGAGACUCCGUCCACCCCAGGCAGCUUUCCUGAGCCCUGGAGGACAGGCUUGAAAUGACUCCUAGGCUUCUGGUGACCCUUGUCACCUAUCUGCCCAGAAUACUCAGUACCUCUCAAUGACCCUCAGACGCUGUAGGAAGAGGAUUGGUUCACCUUUUAACCCAGAAUUUCUCACAUUGAAUGGACAGGAUGCAUUCCAAGAGGCCAGAGUAUGUGCAUCUCAGCUCCUGAUGGUUUCCACCACCACCAUUACUUUCUCUAUGUCAAGAUACCUGGGAAGCCGGUGUUUCAUUUGCAUUCUUGGAGCCCAGGAACUGUCUUCUACAAACUUUUCUUCCUAGUACCAUGUAAACGUACACAGGAAACGUUCAGAAAACAUCAGCCAAAUAGAAGAAUAAGGAAAUUCCUUCACUGACUAGAUAUUGGUGUUUGAUUCUGUCCUGCUUUGUACUCAAUGGCUAUUUCGGGGUUUCCAUUGCGGAAAACUAUUUGGAAAAUUGCAAGCCACGAGACAAGCCUCUAAGCUACUCCAGGAUCAUUGAGGACUCUCCAUGGGUUCUUAUUGUUAAAGAUCUUAACUCCUCAAGCCACUGCAUUUUUACUAUAUGCCUUGAACUACAAGAUGUGUUAAGAUUUAUAGGAUAAGGUUCUCAUCUCUAAAAACUCAUGGUCUCGAUGGAGAAGCAGUAUUUACACACAUGGAGAAGUUGAGAGUACUUGAAUGUGGAGUAUAAAGUGUGCGAUAUUGACAAGAAGCUCUACGAAAGUUCAGGAAGAGGAGGAGCAAGUGAGGAUGGAGAUGGACUUUGCAGAAUGGAGGAGAGGCAAAGAAACGGUUAGAAACAAUCUACAUAAUGAAAAGUCACUUUUGGGAGUUGUUUUAAGGCAGAGUAUCAUAUCGCAUCAAAACCGCUCCAUAAGUCCUGCCACUCCACGUGCAAUGCCAUGAACUUGAAGAAACUGCUGCUGCUGCAAACCAAUGGGCUUUGGGGAACUGUGCUUCCCUUCAGAAAGGAAA